AUUCUGAAUGCAGGAAGGUGUAGAAUUGAAGGGAGAUUGGGUUCCAUAAUCAAAUGCUGGAGAACCAAGGCUACCUGUCUGAAGAUGGCCCAGAGUCAUUUGUUUCUCCUAUUGAACUUCAUUACCAUCAAGCUCAGCCCAAGAAACCAAACUACAAAGGGUGGGGAGUUUCUUCAGUACAAGAACUGAGUUCCUUGAAUGUGCCAAGUGCUGGGCUUACACAGGAAAUGCCCUGAAGUUGAGGUGUAUAUUCACAUCUUACAAGCAUGAAGAGGAGGAAACUGAAGCCCUGGGAGAUCCUUCCCAGUGAGCUCCUGUGUGUCAUGUUCCACUUUGGGUGCUGUCUCCCAGGCCCUAUAUGACCUACAGCAGACAGAGAUGACUCAUGGAUUAAUUAAUACACUUGGUUCAAUGUUCUUCAGUUGUCCACUAGAG
rnacentral:lncRNA from 1 species